GCUCGUGGAUCGAUGAAGACCGCAGGUAAAUGCGCGUCAGAAUGUGAACUGCAGGACACAUGAACACCGACAAGUUGAACGUAAUUGCACACCGUACAACAGUACGAUGUACACAUUUUCACAUAUUUAUCCAUUCAACUGUACGUGCGUGCGCGUCCCGCAACAGCGCUGGCGUGAGGACAAAUGCACCACGUACGCGCAGUAACGUUUUCCUGAGCCCUCAGUAAACCGUUGAAGAUAGUCAGGCACGCCCCGCCCUGGGCGCGGUUGAUGAAUACAUCCCCUAGAUAAACGCGCUUGGUUAUGUUGUAUGUCAUCGGCUAGCCAACCGGCCACCGGCACCCCCCAUUAGGCCUCAAAUAAUGUGUGACUACCCCCUAAAUUUAAGCA
rnacentral:rRNA from 1 species